rnacentral:rRNA from 1 species
UACGAGGGAGGCUAGCGUUGUUCGGAGUUACUGGGCGUAAAGAGUGCGUAGGCGGUGCUCUAAGUUUGGUGUGAAAUCUCCCGGCUUAACUGGGAGGGUGCGCCGAAAACUGGAGUGCUUGAGUAUGGGAGAGGCAAGCGGAAUUCCUGGUGUAGCGGUGAAAUGCGCAGAUAUCAGGAGGAACACCGGUGGCGAAGGCGGGUCUCUGGGCCGAUACUGACGCUGGAGGAGCGAAAAGCGUCGGGGAGCGAACAGG